GACGUAGGAUGCAAGCGUUGUCCGGAUUUAUUGGGCGUAAAGAGUUCGUAGGUGGUUCGUUAAGUCUGAUGUUAAAGACCGGGGCUCAACUUCGGGACUGCAUUGGAUACUGGCGGACUUGAGUGUGGUAGAGGCAAGCGGAAUUCCAGGUGUAGCGGUGAAAUGCGUAGAUAUCUGGAAGAACACCGGUGGCGCAAGCGGCUUGCUGGGCCAUAACUGACACUGAGGAACGAAAGCUAGGGGAGCGAAUGGG
rnacentral:rRNA from 1 species